CCAUGUUUUGGCAUGGGACUCGUGAUCCCUCGUACGGUGUUCGUGGUCAAUAAAUCAACAAGAUGAGUGCACAAACAAGAUUUUUAGAGCACAUUUCGGAUGAACCUUCCACGGUCGACUUUGUCCUGUUAGACGCUCCGCUAUCAUGAGCCCGCUGUUGGCAGCAUUUUCUAGAAGCGGAACUCCCGGUAGGGAGUAUGCGCCAAUAUACCUAAAAAUAAAAAUAUGUAAAUAUAUGUAAAAAUAAAAAUAUGUAAAUUCG